rnacentral:rRNA from 1 species
UACGUAGGGUGCGAGCGUUGUCCGGAAUUACUGGGCGUAAAGAGCUCGUAGGUGGUUUGUCGCGUUGUUCGUGAAAACUCACAGCUCAACUGUGGACGUGCGGGCGAUACGGGCAGACUGGAGUACUGCAGGGGAGACUGGAAUUCCUGGUGUAGCGGUGGAAUGCGCAGAUAUCAGGAGGAACACCGGUGGCGAAGGCGGGUCUCUGGGCAGUAACUGACGCUGAGGAGCGAAAGCGUGGGGAGCGAACAGG